rnacentral:lncRNA from 1 species
ACAGUCUCAUUCAGUUGCUGCAUCAAGCUUGAAGUCCACAAAUUACAGAAAAGGGGUCCCAAUCCAGACCCCAAGAGAGGGCUCUUGGAUCUCACGCAAGAAAGAAUUCAGGGAAGUUUGAUGGCAUGUCUUUAUAUCAUGGCCAUGGGCAGGACUUGGAAAAAGUUUUACCACUAAAGCAUCUAUGAACUCAAGAAAGAAAACACUGGCUAUGUACAAUGAUGACUGUGAUCUUUUAAAUUUAUCUCAAAUAGCGAACCUACCAGUCAUACUGAGAGGAAAUCACCACUGGAGAUCCCAGAAGCAUAACAAUUGUCCCUUCCAAGUAGCAAGAAGUUACUUCAUCUUCUCAUCAGGACAAGGUUUCCAACUCUGUUGCCUCUGCAGGGGUGGAUUUGUGGAUCCUGAAUUCUGGCAGCUGUGUGAUCCACACCUUGGCUAGCACCAGAGGUCAUUGGCUAAGUGCUAUGACAGCAGGGAUUCUCCAAGGCCAAGCCCAUGGGGUUCAGGCCAGGGAUGAUCAAUCAUCAGGCGAAGGUUCCAGGACAUGAAGUGCAUCACAGGUGCUCUCCAGGAACAGGUACCCAGCCAUGCAGGACUAGGAGAGGCCCAGGGCAGCCCUGAUUCUCACAUGUCCACCCACUGGCAGGAGCUGACAGCUGUGCAUGACUAGCUCUCAAAGGCCCAGCUGCAUCCUGCCUCCUCCUGCUUCUGUUGAGUCUGGCAGCUACAAGCAAGAGUAUGGGAAAGCAGAAGACAGGAAGACAGGUGAACUCAUGGAAGACGGAGGCAGAGGGGAAAGUAGAGGCUCUGCAGACCCCAUCAUGGAGAACAAGAAACCGAGUGGGAGCUUAUCGACUUCAGCCUUACCCCAGGACGCACUCUCAACCAAGUUUACUCUCUGAACAGCUCUGAAACUUUUGGUUCAGUCGUGGCUGAACCAACAGGAAAUCAAGGGAAAUGGCACUUAUUUAUUAUGCAGCCGUAGGCCAAUUCCCCAGAUGUCAUUAUUGCACUUCCAGGCCUUUUGCUUAGGCAAAGAAACAGAGACCGAAAGAGACUUCUGAGACAACAGCCAGCAAAGAAGCUCACUGCCUUUUGAAGGGAUUCUCCUCCCAUGGGAGAAGAGCUGCUCUGGUCACUUCUACAAGUUCUAGCUGACCAGGCAGGGCCCUGGCUGAGAUCUUAUUUGGGGACUGAUCCUCUACCCUCUUCUCUCCACAAAUCAGUGAGCUUUGAGGGGAACUUGACUGCCACCAAACAUGAGGCUUUAGGACUGGAGAAGCUGGCAGACAAUGGGGUCCCCAGUGAUGCCCCUCAGAUGGGGCAAAGAUAUUCUCAACUACACCUCUGUCAAUGGUAUUAAUGGUUUUUAAAUGGUCUGUCCAUUUUUUCAUUAAAAAAGACACAGUAUUAAAAACUUGCCUGGAGUCAAACAGCUAGUAAGAGGCAAAGCCAGAUCUUGAGCUUGGUUUGUCAGGCACAUAACCACUCUACAUUAUCUUGUAAAGGUCAAAGAAAUUUUUUUCUUUUUAUUGC